UAUCUGGCAAUAAGGCAUAUAACCUCGGACCAAGGUAAGUAUGACUUUUUUGUCCUAUGCUUUUAUUCUUUCUUUGAGUUACAAACAUUUUACCUUUGUUUCUUGUUUCAUAUUUAUGUUCGCUGACUAUUAAUUGACUUUUAUUUUUGUGUUGAUGUAUAGUUAGGAAAUAGAAGAAUAGUUGCCGCAGGUCCAUCAAACACGCUUCAAUAAAAAGAUCAUCCGAAGGAUUACGCAAUAUACUCUUACUUACAUUUCCCCAGGCUACAAUUCCAUAAAUUAGGUGCGAUUGAACCAAUGAAUUAUAAAUAAUUAUCAGAGAAUCAUGGUCAAGUAUAUCCCUUAACACUUUAAACUUAUGAAACAAGAAUCUUACCUUAUUAGAAAUAUAUUUUAUGUGCUUAUCCCAUUUUAGGUGAUUGUCUAAUAUGACACCGAGAUACUUAAAUUCUCUGACCGAAUUGAUUACGAUAUCGUCUGAAAUAGUCAGAAACUGAACAGUGGGUGAGGAACGAACAUCAACAUAAUUAUGUAAAACUCGCGUUUUAUCAUAAUUUACUCUUUUCUUGUGACAGUUUCCCAGUCAUCGUCACUGUAGAAAAUACAUGUAUCGUCUGCGUAUGCUAUAAUAUCUCCCAUAGUGGGCAGACAGAAUAACUCAUUUAUAUAUAAGUUAAACAGUAUAGGACCUAAUACAGAGCCCUGAGGGACUCCAUACGUGAUCCGUUUUAAUUCGCUACGAUAAUUAUUUAUUGCCACAAACUGAUAACGAUGAGUGAGGUAACUCCUGAAAAAGUUUAAUGACACCCCUCUAGCACCCACUCUUUCCAGACAGUUUAACAACAGAUCAUGACUUACAGUGUCAAACGCUUUUGACAAGUCUAUAAAUACACUGAGGGAUUUUUUGUUGUCGUCCAUAGCCGAAUAUAUAUUGGAAGUAAGAUGAAGAAUAGCAUCUUGCGUAGAUACCCCAGCUCUAAAACCAUACUGUCUUGGUGAUAAUACCUGAUGUCUCUCAAGAUCUCGCACAAACUCCAAAGGCUCAGUAGAAGGUGAUCUAUACCCAGCCAAAAUAUUAAUAUUUUUUUGCUGAAACUGAAUCUCGACUAGAAUCAAUUUAUUUCCAUUGGCAAGAGGAAUCAACUUAUGUAAAAAUUCAAUACCAUAUUUUAAGUAUA